GAGCCUACGGGGGGCAGCAGUGAGGAAUAUUGGUCAGUGGGCGAGAGCCUGAACCAGCCAAGUCGCGUGAAGGAUGACGGCCCUACGGGUUGUAAACUUCUUUUGUCAGGGAGCAAUUGGGUCCACGCGUGGGCUUAGCGAGAGUACCUGAAGAAAAAGCAUCGGCUAACUCCGUGCCAGCAGCCGCGGUAAUACGGAGGAUGCGAGCGUUAUCCGGAUUUAUUGGGUUUAAAGGGUGCGUAGGCGGUUUGUCAAGUCAGCGGUAAAAAUUCCGGGCUCAACCCGGUCCCGCCGUUGAAACUGGG
rnacentral:rRNA from 1 species